rnacentral:rRNA from 1 species
AGAACGAACGCUGGCGGCAUGCCUAACACAUGCAAGUCGAACGCGUGACUUCGGUCACGAGUGGCGCACGGGUGAGUAACGCGUGGGAACCUGCCCCGAGGUGGGGGAUAACCGAUGGAAACGUCGGCUAAUACCGCAUACGACCUAAGGGUGAAAGAUUUAUCGCCUUGGGAGGGGCCCGCGUCGGAUUAGCUAGUUGGUGGGGUAACGGCCUACCAAGGCGAUGAUCCGUAGCUGGUCUGAGAGGAUGAUCAGCCACACUGGGACUGAGACACGGCCCAGACUCCUACGGGAGGCAGCAGUGGGGAAUAUUGGACAAUGGGCGCAAGCCUGAUCCAGCAAUGCCGCGUGAGUGAUGAAGGCCUUAGGGUUGUAAAGCUCUUUCGGCGGGGACGAUGAUGACGGUACCCGCAGAAGAAGCCCCGGCUAACUUCGUGCCAGCAGCCGC